UCUGUGCCGGUGAUGGUUCUAAAUAUACUUUGAGGGGAGUUCCUUCUCUUUGAAAAAGAAACCGAAUCUGAGGCGUUCC
rnacentral:snoRNA from 1 species